ensembl:lncRNA
UUGUGUGUAAAUGAAGAAGAGCCACGUGCAAGUGAUGUCAUGACUCGACACCAAGGGAGCCGAGCAGAAGGAAGAGCAGAAGGGAGAUGAGAGGACUGCAGAGGAAAAGCAAAGACCUAGCUGAGAGUAACUGUUACCAGAGAAAGAAAGUGUCUCUUCAUUAUCUCCCCCAGCGUCCCUUUGGGAGACCCUCCUCUCGGGGAACACACCCGCGGACAGAUCCUUGGUGCUGUUGGGCAUGCUCGUCCGAACCUGCAGUGGACCGGGCUCUUCACUGCAGGGAGCGUGGGUGACAGCUCCAAUGCUACACCGGAUGACGGCAUUGUGCUUCUUUGGGAGCUGGUACUGGUGGUAGCUGGGAGGGGUGGACUCUCUGCAGUGGAACUUUUGGGGAGUGGCCAGGCAGAGGGGAGGUGUGUCCAUGACCUGCAUGCGGAGAGGUGGGCCCUCCCUCCAACCUCUUCCAGCAGCUUACCCCAGCAUUGCCUUCUUCUUCCUCCUUUCUGUAAGCCUCUUGUGCCUCUUGUUCCCAGCUGUCUUCACUCUCCUUUGUAGGCUCUUGUGGUCAGAAGUGUUGCAGUUGCCGUACCAGAGGAGGCUCUCGACGGUGCCUCUGUAGAAUAUGGUGUGGAUGGGUGGGGGGAAGGCUUGUCUGUUUCAGCCUCCGCAGUAAAUGUAGUCUCUGCUGAGCUUUCUUGACCCCUGUCCACGUAAGUUCCUCAGUGAUGUGCACACCCAGGAACUUGGUGCUCUUUACAAUCUCCACCGCUGAAUUGUUUAUGAUGAGAGGGUUGUGGGCAUGAUGUGAUUUUCUGAAGUUAAUUUUAUCUUGUGGACUUCCAGAUAAAGUGAAUGAUUAAUAAAACAAACUGAUUGAGACAUAAAAAAAAAUAAAUAAAGAUGAAAUCUAAAUAUCUCAUAAGGUGUCAAAGGCCAGAUGGGUUUUCAAAUGGGAUUCAAAAACUGACAGAGAAGAGGCCUGUCAAAUCUCUAGAAGGAGAUCGCUGCUACAGAAAAAGCACAAUCUCCUUUAAAUUUGUGCUGAGUCCUGGUUACACUAAGGAGCAGCUGAUCGGCUGACCUGAGGGACUGCAUGGGUGGAAAAGGCUGGAGCAGCUCAUAGAGAAAGGAUGGAAUUUACAUUUUUUUUAUGAAUUCUAAAUGACAUGGACAGAUAGUGUAAUGAAGCUGAAAUAGAGGGUAAUGUGUUCAAAUGUCUGAGUGCCAGAUUAAAAUAUGCACCAGUUUGCACCCUCUGGAGAUGCAUGAUAGAAGAAGCACUGACCCCUAUAUAAAGUGCAUUGCAGUAAUCCAGCCAGGUGGUAACCAAGGCGUGUAUUACUGUCUCAAAGGAAGCAAUGGGCCAGCUGUCUCAGUUGGAAGAGGUUUGAUUUAACAACUGCUUUAAUUUGACUAUCAAGCUUAAGUUCAGCAUCUAGAGGGUGGUAGUAGCCUAGUGGGUAACACACUCGCCUAUGAACCAGAAGACCUGGGUUCGAGUCCCACUUACUACCAUUGUGUCCCUGAGCAAGACACUUAACCCUAAGUUGCUCCAGGGAGACUGUCCCUGUAACUGAUUGUAAGUCGCUCUGGACAAGGGCGUCUGAUAAAUGCUGUAAAUGUAAAUGUAGUUUGACCCCCAAAUUUGUGGCAAUUGUCUUAUCAUACUGGGCUAAAGAAUCUAAAUACACCUUACUGGUGUGAGACUGCCAAAAACCACCACUUUAAGGCAUUUAAGUAAUGGCUGUACAGAGCAUGUUCCUGUAUUUAAGGGGCAUGUAGAUCUGGUAGUCAUUAGCAUAAAAGUGAAUUGAUUGAUUAUUUUUCCUUUUUUUUUCAAUGUUCCCUUCUUGUUGGUGGGAAAUAAAUAAAUAAAUACAUACAUAAAAAGAAGAGAACUGGAAAACUGCACAGAAUAGAACCACCCAAGGUGGUGGCGAGGACAGGAUCCUUG